GAAAUGCGAUACUUGGUGUGAAUUGCAGAAUCCCGUGAACCAUCGAGUUUUUGAACGCAAGUUGCGCCCGAAGCCUUUUGGCCGAGGGCACGUCUGCCUGGGCGUCACGCAUCGCGUCGCCCCCCACAACUCUCCGUAAGGGGAACUCGUGUUUUGGGGGCGGAUAUUGGUCUCCCGUGCUCAUGGCGUGGUUGGCCGAAAUAAGAGUCCCUUCGAUGCAACUGUACCAUAGA
rnacentral:misc_RNA from 1 species